GACGAACGCUGGCGGCGUGCUUAACACAUGCAAGUCGAACGAUGAAGGAGAGCUUGCUCUCCGGAUUAGUGGCGAACGGGUGAGUAACACGUGACUAACCUGCCCCUUUCUCUGGGAUAACGCUCCGAAAGGAGUGCUAAUACCGGAUACGAACUCUGAACACAUGUUCGGAGUUGGAAAGUUUUUCGGAAAGGGAUGGAGUCGCGGCCGAUCAGCUUGUUGGUGAGGUAACGGCUCACCAAGGAGACGACGGGUAGCCGGCCUGAGAGGGGGACCGGCCACACUGGGACUGAGACACGGCCCAGACUCCUACGGGAGGCAGCAGUGGGGAAUAUUGCACAAUGGGCGAAAGCCUGAUGCAGCGACGCCGCGUGAGGGAUGAAGGUCUUCGGAUUGUAAACCUCUUUCAGUAGGGACGAAGCGAAAGUGACGGUACCUAAAGAAGAAGCACCGGCUAACUACGUGCCAGCCGCCGCAGUAA
rnacentral:rRNA from 1 species